rnacentral:rRNA from 1 species
AUUGAACGCUGUCGGCAGGCCUAACACAUGCAAGUCGAGCGAGCGGCGGACGGGUGCGUAAUGUAUGGGGACUGCCCGAUAGCGGGGGAUAACUACUGGAAACGGUGGCUAAUACAGCCUACUAUCGGAUAAUCCAUAUGGGGUUAGAUAGUAGGUGGGGUAAAGGCUAACCUAGGCGACGAUCUCUAGCUGGUCUGAGAGGAUGAUCAGCCACACUGGGACUGAGACACGGCCCAGACUCCGACGGAGGCAGCAGUGGGGAAUAUUGCACAAUGGGCGCAAGCCUGAUGCAGCCAUGCCGCGUGUAUGAAGAAGGCCUUAGGGUUGUAAAGUACUUUCAGCGGGGAGGCGUUACCCGCAGAAGAGGCACCGGCUAACUCCGUGCCAGCAGCCGCGGUAAUAC